rnacentral:rRNA from 1 species
GGGCCCGCACAAGCGGUGGAGUAUGUGGUUUAAUUCGAUGCAACGCGAAGAACCUUACCAGGGUUUGACAUCCUGCGAAUCUCUUGGAAACGAGAGAGUGCCUUCGGGAACGCAGUGACAGGUGGUGCAUGGCUGUCGUCAGCUCGUGUCGUGAGAUGUUGGGUUAAGUCCCGCAACGAGCGCAACCCACGUCGUUAGUUGCCAGCAUUUAGUUGGGCACUCUAGCGAGACCGCCGGUGAUAAACCGGAGGAAGGUGUGGAUGACGUCAAGUCAUCAUGCCCCUUACAUCCUGGGCUACACACGUACUACAAUGGGGCGUACAAAGGGUUGCAAUCCCGCGAGGGGAGCUAA